GACGAACGCUGGCGGCGUGCUUAACACAUGCAAGUCGAGCGGUAAGGCCCUUUCGGGGGUACACGAGCGGCGAACGGGUGAGUAACACGUGGGUGACCUGCCCUCAGCUCUGGGAUAAGCCCGGGAAACUGGGUCUAAUACUGGAUAUGACUCCAUGACGCAUGUUGUGGGGUGGAAAGCCUUGUGCGGCUGAGGAUGGGCCCGCGGCCUAUCAGCUUGUUGGUGGGGNGAUGGCCUACCAAGGCGACGACGGGUAGCCGGCCUGAGAGGGCGACCGGCCACACUGGGACUGAGACACGGCCCAGACUCCUACGGGAGGCAGCAGUGGGGAAUCUUGCGCAAUGGGCGAAAGCCUGACGCAGCGACGCCGCGUGAGGGAUGACGGCCU
rnacentral:rRNA from 1 species